GACGAACGCUGGCGGCGUGCCUAAUACAUGCAAGUCGAGCGCAGGAAACUGACGGAACUCUUCGGAGGGAAGGCAGUGGAAUGAGCGGCGGACGGGUGAGUAACACGUAAGGAACCUGCCUCAAGGAUUGGGAUAACUCCGAGAAAUCGGAGCUAAUACCGGAUAGUUCAACGGACCGCAUGGUCCGCUGAUGAAAGGCGCUCCGGCGUCACCUUGAGAUGGCCUUGCGGUGCAUUAGCUAGUUGGUGGGGUAACGGCCAACCAAGGCGAUGUUGCAUAGCCGACCUGAGAGGGUGAUCGGCCACACUGGGACUGAGACACGACCCAGACUCCUACGGGGGGCAGCAGUAGGGAAUCUUCCACAAUGGACGAAAGUCUGAUGGAGCAACGCCGCGUGAGUGAUGAAGGUUUUCGGAGCGUAAAACUCUGUUGUAAGGGAAGAACACGUACGAGAGGAAAUGCUCGUACCUUGACGGUACCUUACGAGAAAGCCACGGCUAACUACGUGCCAGCAGCCGCCGUAAUAC
rnacentral:rRNA from 1 species